rnacentral:rRNA from 1 species
AGAUUGAACGCUGGCGGCAUGCCUUACACAUGCAAGUCGAACGGUAGAGUAGCAAUACUCGAGAGUGGCGAACGGGUGAGUAAUAUAUCGGAACGUGCCCAAUCGUGGGGGGAUAACGUAGAGAAAUUUACGCUAAUACCGCAUACGAUCUAAGGAUGAAAGCGGGGGACUCGCAAGAGCCUCGCGCGAUUGGAGCGGCUGAUAUCAGAUUAGGUUGUUGGUGAGGUAAAGCUCACAGCCGAGAUCUGUAGCUGGUUUGAGAGAACGACCAGCCACACGUGGACUGAGACGACGGCCAGACCUCGUACGGGAGCAGCAGUGGGUAAUUUUGGACAGUAGGGACGAAAGCC